rnacentral:rRNA from 1 species
AUGGCAGCCUCCGUGGAGACUCACCGUCGCCCACACCCGCAGCCUGUGAUGAACGACAACCAACACAGCCACCGGUUUCACCACCCCAGCGUCUGGGGGGACUUCUUCCUUGGUUUCAGGCCAUUCUCUCCGGCGCAGUGCCUUUCCAUGAAAAACAAGGCUGAUGUAAUGAAAGAAGAGCUAAGGGCGACAAUAGUAGAUUCGGGUUCUGUUGAUCUGCCUCGGAAGCUUGAGCUUGUCGAUACUUUACAGCGGCUUGGUUUGGACUACCACUAUGGGAAGGAAAUCAAUGAUUUGUUGUGUGGGAUUCAUGAUGCCGGUGAUGAAGCCCGCGAUCUUCACACGACGGCCCUUCGAUUUUAUUUGCUCAGGAAACAGGGAUUCAAUGUUUCACCAGAUGUAUUCCUAAAGUUCAUAGAUGCCGAUGGAAAGAUUAUCUGCAACGACACAAGAAGCCUCUUGGGCAUGUACAACGCUGCCCAUGUUGGAACCAAUGGCGAAGAAACACUCAGCAGCGCGAUCACUUACACAAAAGACCAUCUCGAGCGUGCCGUGGAGCAACAAACAAUUUCACCAUCAAUAUUGCUCGAUCAGGUGCAGCGCGCACUGGAAACGCCUCUUUUUAGGAGGCCUCGAAGAGUUGAAGCGCGACACUUCAUCUCAGUUUAUGAGGGUAUGAGUACAAGGAAUGAUGCCAUUUUGGAGCUUGCAAAGCUGGAUUUCAGUAUUCUUCAAGCUCUGUACUGUGAGGAGUUGAGGGCUCUUACUCUGUGGUGGAAAGGACUGCAACUACAAGACCAUUUGAGCUUCGCACGAGACAGGAUGGUGGAGAUGCACUUUUGGAUGUUAGGAGUUUUAUUUGAGCCACAAUAUUCAUAUGGACGAAUCGUACUCACAAAGUUCUUUACAUUUAUAUCGAUAUUCGAUGACAUUUACGACAGCUACAGCACCUUAGAAGAAAGCAGGCUCCUCACCAUGGCAAUGGAAAGGUGGGAUCAACAAGCCGCUGAACACCUCCCAGGUUACAUGAAGUUUUUCUAUAGCAAAGUACUUGCUACGAUGAAGGUCAUUGAAAAAGAUUUGGAUAGUCAAGGAAACAAGCAUGCAGACUAUGUAAAAAAGCUACUAAUCGAUGCUACGAAAUGCUACUACAAUGAGGUGAAAUGGCGUGAGGAAAGCGACACACCAGUUACUGUUGAGGAGCACCUGCGAUUCUCGGUGCCUAGCUCUUGCUGCAUGCAUGUUGCAUGCCUUGCAUUCGUUGUCAUAGGAGCGAGCGGAGAUGCCAUCGAGUGGGGCAUGACCUAUCCUAAAAUCAUGCGAGCUUCUUGUGUCAUUGGCCGUGUCAUCAACGAUGUGGCUUCACACGAGCGAGAACAAGAACAGUGCUAUGGCGAGAGGUCUGUGAUGUCAACGGUGGAAGCAUGUAUGGAGGAGAACAACUACACUGCAAAGGAAGAUGCAUACAAAAAGCUCAGGGAGCUCAUAGAGGAGUCAUGGAUGGACAUCAAUGAGGAGCUCCUCAAGCCAGACACCGUGCGGCCGGCAUCGCCGCUCCUAGAGGCGGUGGUGAAUUCGACACGGAUGUUGGACUUCUUGUACAAGGAUCAAGACGCGUACACUGAUCCACGGGCUCUCAAAGUGGUAGUAGAUUCUAUAUAUGUAAAUCCUAUAUAG